CUACGGGAGGCACCAGUGAGGAAUAUUGCACAAUGGGGGGAACCCUGAUGCAGCAACGCCGCGUGGAGGAUGACGCAUUUCGGUGUGUAAACUCCUUUUAUAUGUCAAGAAAAUGACGGUAGCAUAUGAAUAAGCACCGGCUAACUCCGUGCCAGCAGCCGCGGUAAUACGGAGGGUGCAAGCGUUACUCGGAAUCACUGGGCGUAAAGGACGCGUAGGCGGGUUGGAAAGUUAGGUGUGAAAUCCUACAGCUUAACUGUAGAACUGCACUUGAAACUUCUAAUCUAGAGUAUGGGAGGGGGAGAUGGAAUUAGUGGUGUAGGGGUAAAAUCCGUAGAUAUCACUAGGAAUACCUAAAGCGAAGGCGAUCUCCUGGAACAUUACUGACGCUAAGGCGUGAAAGCGUGGGGAGCAAACAGGAUUAGAUACCCCCCGUAGUC
rnacentral:rRNA from 1 species